rnacentral:rRNA from 1 species
UACGGAGGAUGCAAGCGUUAUCCAGAAUCAUUGGGCGUAAAGCGUCCGCAGGUGGCAUUUCAAGUCUGCUGUCAAAGGUCGGGGCUUAACUCCGAACAGGCAGUGGAAACUGAGAAGCUAGAGUAUGGUAGGGGCAGAGGGAAUUCCUGGUGUAGCGGUGAAAUGCGUAGAGAUCAGGAAGAACACCGGUGGCGAAAGCGCUCUGCUAGGCCAUAACUGACGCUCAGGGACGAAAGCUAGGGGAGCGAAUGGG